UUUUCAAGUUCAUCACCUAAAGUAGGCUGCCUAUGGAACAUAUCUGGAGACACCUGAAUUAUUAAGAGUUGUCAAAAUUAUCCCAGGGUGAAGCUGCUGUUAUAUCACCACCGCUUUCCGUUAAGAAACACUUCUCUUCCAGUUCUACCUGAUACGGAAGAGUGUUGAUUUUAGGCCGAUUUAUGCAUCGGAUUGAAAUGUUGAAGAUACUACAGUAGACAACAAGUCGUCUAAAGGUUUUAGCAAUAAGCUCUAAUGAGCUGAAGAGAUCCAGUUUUAUCCCUGACCAGCAGAGGGAAAGUAGGUUAGUGGUCCACUUACAGCUCUUGGGAGCAAACAUCUGCUCCAUUUGAGUCUGGGAGGAGGAGUGGAAAAUAUGAAGUGUUCCUAGCGCACAUGAGGCCAGUGUAAGCACAGACAACGAACUCCUUGUGCUCCGUCAGCAUCUGGUCCUUGGAUGGCCUGUCUGCUGGAUUGCCAAGAGGACAGACAGGAAAAGACAUUUCCUCUGAAAGGAAGUCAAUGCCUGUGAAGCCAACUGAAUGCACUGAAGUAGAAUCAUAUAAAUACAUUCACAAAUUUUCAACUUUAGAGGUUGCACAAAUUAAAUGCAAACAAAAUGUAAAUUCUGGUGGUGAAAUGUUCCACAAUGAAGCCUGUCAACACUGCGAACUGGUUAAAGAUCUCGCCUCGGGAUAUGUAACACCCGUCUGUCUAUAUAGGCUUUGUGUUGUUUUACAUUUAAUCCCAUCAGGUUUCACAAACCUGGGUCACAAUUCUAGACACGGCAGAGCACAUGAUGUAACCGCCGUCUCUGGAUCUUUUUUGUUCUUUUGACAUGAGCAUUAGGCAAUAGCCUCGACUAUGAUAUACAACCUCAUUUCCAUUUUUUUUUUUUCAUAUUUGUGUUUGCCAAAUAUGUCAUGCUCUCUUGUGUAAAUUGAUGUUCUUGUUCCAACAAGUUCAAUUCAGUUCUAACAAAUAAUAAAAUAAAAAUUCAACUUUAGUUGUUGUAUAAAA